GUUUCAAAUUGUGAACACAGGCAACAAUAAAGUUUUACUUUAACUGUACAGAAGAUAGCGUUUUAGUCAAUCAACAUUAAAUACCCGCUGUUUCUCGUUUAUAUAUUGCCAUUUGGUUGCUUUUACAAUACGGUUUAGGAUUUUAAAGUUUUUGAGAAUAUGGACAGAAUGUGGGUGCUUGUUUUUGCAAUUCUCGUUUGCUGGGAAGUCUCUAUAGCUCAGAAAACUAAAAUAAAUAACGAAGAACUUAAACCUGUGUUAAAGCCGGACCCAGCAGGACCAAAUCUAAGUCGACAACCAGGAGGUCGCAGAGGAGGGUGGGGAGGAUGGCGUAGUAAGAGAGCGAUGCCAGAGGAAGAAGAAGAAGACGAUUUCAGCGGAAUGUUUGGAUAACUGUUUGUAAUGAUUUUUUGACUGUGCGCAUUUUUACACAAACCAUUAAUGACAUGAUCUGAUGAUACAACUUUUAAAAAAAAAAUUGAAACAUUUUUAAAGAAAAAUUGAAAAAAAAA